rnacentral:sRNA from 1 species
AUGUGUUUCCCUAGGUUUUAGAUAACCAUGUGAUUAACUAUGUUCCCCCUGAGGUCUACGCCACCUAUCCAAGUCACUUGCCCCACCACAGACAGAAGUUUGGUUUACAAAUUGUUGGUGCAUUGAGUUCAGACCCUAGAAUGUUUUCUAAACCUUACAACAAUCUCUUCAUCAAAGCUGGUGUCCCACCCAAACGUUGGUUGACCAGAUUUUUAAUUACACCAAACGCUGCCUGCCAACCUGGCACACCACUGAGUGUAAAUCACUUCAAAGUUGGCGAAUAUGUGGAUAUUCAAGGAAGAACGUGAGUUGCUAUAUCAUUCCCUCUUAUUUUUUGUG